UACGUAGGUGGCGAGCGUUGUCCGGAUUUACUGGGCGUAAAGAGCGCGCAGGCGGUCGUUCAAGUCGCGUGUGAAAGCCCCCGGCUCAACUGGGGAGGGUCACGCGAUACUGUUCGACUCGAAGGCAGGAGAGGGAAGUGGAAUUCCCGGUGUAGUGGUGAAAUGCGUAGAUAUCGGGAGGAACACCAGUGGCGAAGGCGACUUCCUGGCAUGUUAUUGACGCUGAGGCGCGAAAGCUAGGGUAGCAAACGGG
rnacentral:rRNA from 1 species